rnacentral:lncRNA from 1 species
CUCCAGUUUCACAGAGCCAUGGCUCUCACACGUGCCAUGCUCACCCUCGCUAUGUUACUAGCUCUUGUAGCAUUGUCCAUGGCUCAAGGCCCAGCCUCGGCACCAAAAUAUUUCAACCCCUCCAAGCCAAAGCCGCCGCCAACCGCCGCCUCACCCACGACCCCCAUCGCCUCUCCCCCCACAUAUAUGGCGGCACCACCUCCAUCAACCACCGCAUCGCCGCCACCUAGUACCGUUGGAGCUACUCCUCCCACCACCUCAGCCACCUCACCAACCACCGCAACGCCCCCGUCCAUGGUGGCUACACCACCAACCGCAACGCCCCCGUCCAUGGUGGCUACACCACCAACUGCUGCCGCCCCACCUAUGGAAGCAAGCGGCCCAACAAGCCCAGGCCCAACAAGUUCUGGCCCAUCUAACACACCACCUGCACCAGCUCCAGGAUCCUCCAGUACGCCCUCCAUUGCACAGCCACCAGCCCCAGUCCCAUCCAGUCCAGACUCAGGUGCUUUUGUUCAUGGGAUUAGCAUGGCCUUGGUGGCAUUCUUGAGUGGAGUUGCGCUAGUCCUUGCUUAGAACACAGGCUCUCCUUUGAAAUUAAUUUAUGUAGAUUUAGAUUAAUUAGUAUAUCUGUGUAUUCUUUGUUUUCCUAUAAUUUAUUGUUACCCUUCUUCUUUCUUUUUAAAAUUUUCUUUUGGGUUUGUGUUGGUUUUGUUGAUGGUUUUUGGGAGGUCCAUUGUGAUUUAUGAGAGGAGGGUGCAGGGUGUUUGGACACAUUUGUUGGAUCUACUUAAUAGCUCUUCUUUUGUAGCAUUUUCAUGAUGACUAGACGAAUAAUAAGAGAGAUCCAUGAUUCUUGUUUGUGUUUCCUAAGUUUUAAUUAACUCUACAUUCAUAAAUCCGGUGUACGUAAUAAUUCCGAUUCACAGUCUAACAAUCUAACAUAUUUAAUUAAUAGUUGGAUUCACGGUCUAACGAAAAAACAUUAAUUUUAAUCUUAUGUUGCCACACAAUACUAAGCAGGCUUUAGAAUCUAAUCUAAGUUUACCCAAAUCAUUCUUCUUCCUAUGUACUUUAUUUUUAUCAUUAUUAAGGGGUUUUUUUCUCUUUUUUUCAUGUCACAAAAAGACGUUUUUGGACUCCUGGCUCUAGUAGUUGGAUGGAUUCUUAAUGAAUUGUAAUGUAUCUUUUGCAUAAGACCAUUUGAUACAUACACUGAUACACAUAAUCAUACACUAAAACUGUGAGAUAAAGGUGCAUGGGAAUAUACCAAACAGCUUUAAAAAAACUCAACCAAUUAAUUACAAAAGGAAAAAAAAAGGAGGAAAAAGAAAAAGAUAUUUAGAUGCCCUAGUAAAAAGGGUAGUUGGCUUGCUGGAACUGGUAGAUGGAGAAGUGAUGCAUUGGUGCAAAUGGUGUCAUUGGUGUGUAGUGGAAUUGGUGGGGAAGGAAUGAGGGAGGGAAAGUUUUUAUUUUUAUUUUUUUGGGGGGGUUCUUGAGGGGAGAAAAGGGUUAGGUGGUAGGAUUAUGUGGAAGAAAUGGGAUGGUGAAAUGCUUUUGGGGAUAGGAUGGUGUCCUUUGGAUUUUUAUUUUUCAAUUUUUGUUAUUGUGGGUUAGAAGGGUUAAGGGAGAAGGGGCCUCUGGUGGUGAAAGCAUAGGGAAUGAAUGGUCAUUGAAGGUGGGGCUAAGUAUGCAAGUGACAAAAGAACAUGAAUUGGAAAGUGAUAUGUGCACAUGGUUUUUUAGCCCCACAAACAUGAGAGAGAGAGAGAGAGAGAGAGAGAGAGAGAGAGAGAGAGAGAGAGAGAGAGAGAGAGAAGAGAGUUUCCAGUUCUAGCUCACAUGGCUUGUAAAUCGAUUCAAAUACAGCUUGAUGUUGUACUGUGUUUUGGGAUUUAGUUAUUGUGCAUUUUGGUGUAUUUAUGGAAAUACUUGCUUUAUUCUUAGAAAGUAGGAAUUCUUACUAUUUUUAUCAAUCACAGUUUGACAUGUGUGUAGAAAUUUUUCUUUUUAUGUUUUUCUUGAUUAUUUUUGUAUAUGUGUCAAACUGUAAUUUGCAAAAAGUUGGAAUGCCUCCUUCCCAAGCAAUGUCCUUUCAUCAAUACAACUCAAGAUCAUGUGUUUAGUUCAUCUCUUCUUAAGAAUUUGAGGUUCUGUUGGGACCUCAAAAUUCUGACCUAGAGACUCCAAAUUCUAAAUUUAAAUCGUAGCUCGAAACCUCAAAUAUGAUUAGAUCUUGUGUUUGAAUUCUCAAUAUAUAUAUAUAAGGGUUAAAUAUCCUUUUGGUCACUAGGUUGUACAUGAAAAUUCAAUUUGGUCAUUGAGAAAUUUUUUUUAGCCAAAUUGGUCACUGUGUUUCCCAAAGUUUACAAUUUAUAGACAUUUUGUUAUCUUCCGUUAAGUGCAGUUUUUAUUUUUAUUUUUUUAGGAAGCACGUUCAAUAUUCUUCCUCUAACUCAACGAGUUAGGGUAUGUUGUGCUAUUAAGGUUUAACAAAUUGGGGGAAAGCUUGGGUUCAAAUCAAAAUUGUGAGGUAUAAGGUUACGGAUUGGAUGCUAUAUUGAAGCCUGAAUCGAUUGCGAGAGAACUGUAUUGUGACUUUGGAUGGCAAGGAGAUGUAAUGAAGGUGAUAUAGCAUCAAAAUAUAUUGUUAAGUUGUUGAUUUCAUUUUAAUUUGGUUUGAUUUUUUUAUUUUUCCUUACAUACGUCACAAUUUUGAUUUCAACCUAAGAUUUACCUCAAUUUGUUAAUGAAAUGUUUAUAAAUUGUAAACUUUGAGAAACACAGCGAUCAAUUUGGCUAAAUUUUUUUCUCAGUGACCAAAUUGAAUUUUCACAUAAAACCCAAUCACCAAAAAAGUAUUUCAAAAAAAAAAAAAAACUUGUAUUGUUCAUUACAUUAAUAAUUUCAAUUUUUCCAAUCAAACAAUAGAAUCACUUUCAUUCCAUUCCCAUUCUUCUAUAUUCUAUACCAACAAAACACCACCUUAUUUCUGCAAUUUGAUUAUGGGAAGUACCCGUCAUGGUGGAGAAGUUAAUUUAUAUAAGUCACAAGGAAAGGAUGCGUUCCAUGCUUUGGUGAUUAGAUUCUUAAAGCAAAUAUGAGUUAUGUCGUUUCAUGAGAAAGAAAAAAAAAAUUAUUAAGCAUUGGAUACCAUUUGAAAAAGCUAACACUCAAGAUUCAUCCUUUGCCCUUUUCUAGCUAUGAAGAAAUAACACCAAAACCAAUCGUUCCCUCUAAAAGCCUUUAGAAAACAUAUCAAGCUAAACAUGCAUGGUUUGAUUUGGGACCCGGAGUUGCUCCUCACUAAGGUACAAACCAACGUCUCCUUCUUCCUUCCUCUUGUUUGGGACACCAUAGCAUGGAACCCAUGACUAAUAGGCAUGUUUUCAUGGAACCUAAGGAGCUUAUUUUUGCUUUGAACAUGUAGGUCCUUAACUUUGUCAAAUUGAAACGUUAAAACUUUUCCAAAUGAAACUAGUACGAGCUUGAUCCUCUACAUUUCACAUAGUGCAUGUGACAAUGCAAGGGCGAGCCUAUGCUAGGUUGUAGUUCACUUAUUAUAUAUACUAGUCUUUCAAUUCGCGCUUAUGGACGUGUCAAUAAAUUUAUUUUAUUUUUAUUGAUAUAGAAUUUUUGUUAAACAUAGACUCUUAUUAUUAUCAUUUUUGUUAAGAAAAUGAUGCCACAAAGCUCGUACGGUGAGACAGACAACACUUAAUAUAGUGGCAUUUUCAAUGUUGAUGGGUUUUACUUGGUUGGACAGCAGGGCAGGACCUCACAUCAAAUAAAGGUGCUCAAUGCAAUGUUUUUUUUGGUCAAAAGGAAAAUUUCAUUGCCAAGUAAAGAGCAUCCAACUCUGCCACAUAGGAGCUCAAUUUCAUAAGUCGGUAAAAGAAAAGCAGGUGUUUAAUGCAUUUACAUGUAAAAUAGGGAUACAUUUGCUGAGCUGAAUUAUGUGAUUGGAUAAGAUUUAUAAUCCUGGUUAAAUAUUUAAUGGCUUAAAAACAAUAUUGAUCGGAAAAUAUCAAAUUCUACUAAGUUCAAAUGUAGUAGGAUUAUAAAUCUCGCUAAAAUAUUGAGAUUAAGUUGGAUUGGAUUAUGUCUGCUAGGCCAUGCAAUAGUAUAUUUUAGUUAAUUCAGUCCCUUAAUCAUGAAUAGUACCAAAUACAGGAUUGGAUUAAUGUUAUCUUAUCUAAUUCAGUGUACCUCCAAUCCAAUUCCAGUCUCCAAACACGGCCGUAGGGAUAUCUCGUGGUUUCUGCUCUAAACAGCCAAACCUUCAAAGAGACAUUUGGAGGCUUUAAGCUUGGCUACUCUGAGUCAUAUGCCAACAGUCGAUAAGCAAGAAACCAGUAAUGGUAGGAGAGAGUUUCAAACCACUUUCGCAAACCACUUUAUUAUGACUAAUUAUUAAUUGAGUAAUGUAACACAUCCAGUUUUUUUCACCAAAAGUUCAAAAGUAUUCAGAAUGUUUUCCAAGCCGAAUGUCUUGUGCUUAAAACAUUUGAACUUGUUCAACAUUGCAUGUGAGCACUUGUGCUCAGGUUGGGCAUGCGUGCAUGAUGUGUUGCAUAAAUCUCUCUUUAAGAUUCAGGAAAAACUCCAUACUUGUCGAUCACAUUACCCUGUCAUUUACAUGUCGGGACCAUGCAGGAAAUGAAACCAGUAAUAUGAAUAAAUCAGAGAUAAUACAGUGACAUGGUCAGCUAAAUUUGGAUUUUGGAACCAGCAACAUGGAUAAAAAUUGCCAGCACAGAAAAUGAAAGCUGAACUCAAUUUACCAAGAAAUGCACUCUGCUGUGCCUCACAAACAUGUUAAAUGUAAAGGAAGAUGUAAAGAAUAGAGGUAUCUGAAAACAAAAAGGUUGAUUUACCCCAGAAGUUUAACCAGUGCACCUCAAUGGGUUCGUAUAUGUAAUGCUUAUCUUGUUGAAUACAUUUCUUUGUAAGGUAACUUGGACUCUACCUGUAUCUCUUUAAUUAGUUUGUCACCCACUGAACCCAGCUCAUGCUCCUUACAUGGUUGGGUAACCAAGCCAUGAAGGUCCAAACUCCAGUCAAGGGGUAUUGCCGUAUCAGUUAAUAUUGUUCUUUUGGUCAAGGCGCUUGAACUCUAACAGAAUCAUUAUACCUCAUCUAUUUUUUUCUCUGUUUUCUUCGACACUCAAAACAAUCUGUACAUGGAGAUUUGUUUUUACUUGAAGAACUUGCUUGCAGCUUGCUAGGUGGUAUUUUCAGGUCUUCCAUUAGUACAUGGCGAAGCUUCUCAUUUUCCUCCAUGAGCUCUUCAAUGACUUGCUGGUGUUUCAAUAUCUGAUGCAUAGGCAAUUUCAAUUUGACAAUUCUAAGUAUAAAAAAAAGGAAAAGAGAAAGGAUAUUAACAUGACUUGAGGCCUCUUAAAGAAUGCUUUCCAUAAAUUUAGACUUUUCCAGUGGUUACUGGUAUUUUACCAGGCAAUAGCAUCAUAUCAAACAUGUAUCUAAGAUCAAUUUCUUUAAAACAAGGAAAACAAAAUAAACACAACCAAAAAUUUGCAGGAAAAUAAACUGGUAGCUAUGAGCCGAUAUUAAACAUUACCAUUUGAAGCAUUUUGUUCUCCAACCUCAAGCGUCCAGCCUACACAGGUAAAACCAAAAAUUAGAUAAUCACAGAAAAGAUUAGAUAAUGAGGGAUCAGCCAGCCCACCCACCCACCAACAUGAGAAAAUCAUGGAUUCAGUUGAACUUCCCAUGAAAUGGAAAUGCAGUUCUACACUUUUGAACAUCCUUUUUAAGGAAAAAAAGAACCACCCAUUGCUAUGUAGGCAGACAAGUAAUUCCCCAAGCUUUUAGAUAUAUUGACUAAGAACUUUACAGUAAUCACUGCUGCAAGCGAUUAUAGUUGGAAUCAAAACAAACUACUGCAAACACCUCCCCAAAGAAAAUGAAGCAGAAAAUUAGAAGACAAACAUGCCCCCUGGCUCUCCUGUAAGAUUGGAACAAGUUACUUUAGAAAAUGCAAUCUUCGUAUCACACAUUUUCAUAACAAUUUUAUAUGGUUCUUUGAUAAGUAAUCAUGUUCCAUCUGUUACAUACCGCUUCAUUUGGUUCACUUUCCUCUCCUUUCAGAACUGGAUUCUGAAGAAAACUGCUGAGAACUUUUUCUGUUCGACUGCCAAAAGGUGUAUCAACUGGAGAGCCUUUUGAUGUAAAAUUUUCAUAGGCUGAAGCAGUACCAGUAUUCCCAUAUCCAGGUAAACCUUGAGAUUUAUGGUCUGGUGGCUUUGUAGCCAACUGCAUGCUACUUCCCAUUGGAUUUUGGCUUGAUGGAUCAUUUACAAUGCCUAUGGCCCUUUGCAAAGAACCUGGGAUGGCACCUUGACCAAUGGCUAAAUUGGGAGCAACUCCAAACUUCACCAUCAUCUUUGUGAUUCCUUGCUAGAGAAUAUAGAGUUAAUGAAUCAGUAGACUGUAACAAGCAACAACUCAUGACAAGAGAAACUAAUACUCACUAAAAGAUGAAAUUGAAUUUGAUGUAACACCCCUGGCUUCACAGCAAGGCCUGCAAUUGGAAAUCAACAAUUCAGCUAUCAAAAACGAAUAUUGUUAAAAUGCAUGAAUUACAGAGCACUGAUGUAUUAUCUUGUUGCAUGAGGUCAGAGGAUAUAAUGCCAAUUGGAUUUUUUUAAAGAAGACUGUGCAAUGUACAUUUUGGAACAAUGUCAUGAAGUCACUAUUCAAAUAAUUGCAACCAGUAAAAAUCUAAACAGAAGAAUCUGUUCUUGUUGAAACGUGAAUACUGUUCUGUUAUGACUCCAGAAAUCUGCACCCCUGAUCAAAUUCCUUCCACUGGACAAAGAGUUUGAACAGUGCAAGACUCCCAAAUGUAAAAUAUGUACUGUUAUCAAGAAUGCACAUAAACAACUACAUAGGCUGAAGGGCUGUUGUGAAUGCCAGAUAGCCUGCCCAAGGAACUCAGCCAAAACUUUCUUUCACAUGCAUGAAAUUGCACUACUUAAAUAAAACAUGAAUCCCUUCUACAACUCAUCAAAAUAUAGUGAUAAAUCUGUUUGCAUCACCAAAUAUUCUGAUUAUAAAUUAGGCAAGACAUAUCAUACAGGAAAUGAAAAACCAAGCACCAGCUAUCACAACGCAUUUCACCAGGAACUAGUAAACAUAAGUCUCCAUAAUAGUGCAUCAGAAAAUGCAAAUAAAGGAAACAAAACGUACUACUGAAUUCCCUAGAAACGCAUAACAUGACAUACCAACUCCAAAACCAUGGCCAAUACCAACUCCACAUCCAAUGCCUGCUUCAAUGUUCUUUGCUCCCACCUUCCUCAACUGAAGAAUGAUACAUGGGAAUAAGAGCUUGAGGAAGUCUUUGAGUGUCAGUAAUCAUUUUAUCUUCCUCUUUUCAUGACAAUGACAACGGCACUCACAAAACUGAAAAAUGAAAAGAAGAAGAUAUUUGACUUACAGAGUUAUUUACAUGUCUGCUAACGCCAGAUAAUGCAUCAGUAGCACCUCGUGUGGCACCCAUGACUUGAUUUAGUACUGGUAUUGCACCUGGUGUACAUAAUUUAAAUCAAUAUGUGGGUUAACUAAUAUCUGCUACAACCAUAACAACCAUAGAAGAGAAAUUUGAUAGUAUUGUUGUCAAUAGCAUCUCCACUUGAAAAGAUACAAAGUUGCACAACUUAAACGCUCAUCACUUAUCAAUCAUCCAAAUACUGAAUUGCAUGGAUCAAGAUAUUUUUGCAAAAUAGAAUUGUCUCUUGCCACCCUAUUCCUUUCUCUAGAUUUAACUCUUUAAAAACAUAUGUGCUGAAAGCAUGCUUGAAAAUAACUGAUAUCUAAAGUCAGCUUACAGACAAACCAUAGCUCGAGAAUGGACACUACUCAUGAAUACACAUUGAUUAAGAUAACAAUGCACAAACUUCAGAUUCAGAACAACCAAAUUCUAAUUUCACAAACAUUACACGCAUAUUAGCAAAAAAUCAAAUUCAAAAUCCGAACCAACCAACCAUCCGGGCAGUUGCUGUAAAUUCUUAGAUUAAAAAGGUUCCUACUAAAACGAUACACCAAAAAUUCAAAAUGGCAGCUUUAUCGCAUUUCCUACAUUUUCUCAGCAACCAAACAGACCCAAGUUCCAAAAACAAACAACAAAGGCAAUGACAGAGAAAAUGAAAAGUAAUACACGGUUUCUUAGCAACUUGUGUCUGAUGGUUUUCAGCAUUUUUGGGUUUGAAGAGCUUCCCCAAGUCCAUCUUCCACAUAAAACUAGACUAUAGACAGAGAAAGCUGUGGAAGAAAAAGAGAGAGUUCAAUAGACAGAGCGGUACCUAGAUUUAUGGGGCGACCAACACCGAUACCAACACCGCAGCCUAUGCCAAAGCCUGUAAAUACUUGACCCACUUUCAAAGUAAACGGAUUCUCUAUUCGGAUUCCCCCACUUGGCCUUCUCUCAUUGGCCACCACCAAGCCACUCUUGCUACUACUAUUGCUGCUGCUGGCCUCCAUUUCUGAACAAGCUUCUCCCUCUUUUCGAAAGCCAAAAGCUUAAAGCUUAACUCUCUCUCUCUCUCUCUCUCUCUCUCUCUCUAAUAGCCCAAGCCUCACACUUCUCUCUCACUCCCCUUGAAAUCUUUUCUCUCCUGAAAUUUCCCACCUUGCUCGCUCGCUCUAAACUGCAAAUCUAAAACAUUACGUACAAGGCAAAGUGAUGAGCCAUACUUCUCUGCUAACCAGAAAUUGUGUAAACUUAGGCCUGCAAUCGGCUACCCACUAGAAACAUGCCCACUUCAACCUAGGAAGUGUUGUUCAAAGUCUUGACAUGCUUAAAUUACCAAGUUACUCUGAGCUUUGUGGACAAUCAGUAAUGGAUGGAUUUAAAUUUCAUUGGUGGAUCCGUGCAGUCGUUUCAUAGGAUUCUGACUGCGGAGGGGAGGAGUGUUGUUGUACAUAAGAAGCGAGGUAACCGAGUAUCGAACAAACAGGCAGCUGUUGUUACCAAAAAAUAAAAAUAAACAGGUAGCUGUCUAUGGGCUUGAAAAGGUUGGGCAAGUCCACAGGAUCCUUGGAUUGGCCUGAAGUGUAUUGCUCACAAGUUGCCCAAGUCCGAAAGUACGAACAAUACAUACGCUAUCCGAGGCUUAAGCCUUUUUUUUUUUUUGGUUACAUGGCGGGGCAAGCCCCAAGAGAAAAGAAAUUAACGAAGAACACUUCGGGGCAAAGCCCGACUUAACCUAUCAUCAUGCAAAAUAUGGUCCAGAGAAGAAAGCAUAUCAUCAAAACUAUGCAAACCCAAUUAUGGCAGCGAGGUGAUCAACAUGAUUCUGUUCAGUGUUCGCUGUCCGAGGCAUCUACUUUUCUCACCAAAUGUGUAUAGAAUAUGUUUGUACGCAUGUUAAAGUCUUGAUAAAAAUAAAUAAGGUCUAAAAUGGGCCUAAGUGAAAAAUAAAUUGAAGCAUUAUUUCGUGAGCAAAACGUAAUAAAGAAAUUGGGUGUGAUGGACAUAAUUUGGUCUCACCAAUUUUUAGCAUAAACUAGCAUCAAAAAGCAAACUUUUGGACAUGGAGCUGCUACAUAAAGCAUCUAUCAAAACAGGUUGGUCCACGGAGUGAUCAGUUUUGGUUUGUCAAUUUAAUCGAUCAUUUUCGAUGACAUGGAAGCAUGAGAAGUGCGAACAAACUAUGGUCACUCACAACAAGGAGAGAGUAAAAGAUGAUCUUGAGGAGUUGAUGCGUUGAGUGGAUUGUGAUAAUAAAUUGUAUUUAGUUUCUGUAAAAGGUACGUAGAGUUGUGCUAUCAACCUAUUUUGUUGUGUUAUUUGAUUUUUAGUUGAAGCAAAAAAUUUAUUUAUUUUUAAUAUACAUUGUUUGUUUAAAAUUUAUCUUACCACCAAAUUUUCCUCUGGCACCUUUUUCGUUUUUUCGAGAGCGUGAUAUUAUAGUUUUUGAAUUUUAUAUUAUACUUUAUGUUUUCAAUAGGGCAUGACGUUGUUAUGUCUCUAUUUUGAAGCGUAACAAUGUGUUGAAGUUGUUUGGCUCACCAUGAUGCAGGAUAAGGAAGAGGAACCAAAGAUUGCAAGAGGAGAGCAGCGAGAGGAGAAGAAGAAGUGGCGGAAAAGAGCAGCAGUGUGCCAGUAACCGAUCGCUUUAUAUAGAGAGCUCAAAUUGUGUCUUCAACUCCAUGUGAUCGGUCGCCCAACCCUGACGACCGGUUGCCACAUGAACAGUAUUGCACGUGAUUUCUACGUAUUGACGUGUUUGACUUGGUUUUUCUAUUAUUUUUGGGAUUUUCUAGUCUAAUUUGAUAGGGUUUUGGUUUACUAUUCCUAGUUAACUUGUAGCAAAAGUCCUAUGCAUCAUAAAUAGAACUUUUAGGGCUAGGUCAAUAAGAAGAGAGAGACACACGGGACUUCAAGGGUGCUUUCAAGAGCAUCAAAGGGUUUGAGCAAAGGGUGAUAGAAAAAAGAUUUUGGGUUUGUUGAGGCCCAAAAAAUCCACUGUUCGGCCCAAAUAUAUUCCCGGCCCAAUGCGAUACCUUAUUGAGAAGAAACCCGAUUUGGGCACGCGAAAAUUCGUCAUAUGCGCUUGCACACAUGCCACGCCAAGCAAAUGAGCAACACGCCAUGCUACAAGCCUAAGUGGGCCCAAGCCACUCGAAUGCGGGGCUUGCUUGAGUGGGUUGUGGCAUGGAUGGUAAUAAGUUGUCAUGAGGCCCAUUGAUGGGCCAAGAAAAAUCGAAACCCAUUUCUUAGGCCCAAAUAUGUGGGUAAGCACGAAGGGGAAAAUAACCCAUUACCUCAGCCAAAAUAGCACAUUACCUUAGAAAAAACAGCCCAUCACCUUGGGAAGUUGGCCCAUCCCUUUAGUGAACUAGCCUAUUACCUUAAAGAAUGGCCCAAGUGACUAACAAAAUAUCUGAAAGUCUCCAGCACAUGGCUGGAGACAAAACCAUGACAAAAGCCAAAAGCCACUCACAUUUGCUGGCUGCUGGAAUCUCCAGCACAUGGAAGGGAACACGUUUCAAGCAAAAAUAUCCAAAAAAUCAAGGGAUACUUGAGCAAAUCACCCUUUGAACCAGCAUACAUACCCAAUUCUUUCCCUCAUCAGACCUGACCAUGGAAAGAGGGAAGAAAAGAGAGGAAGAUGGAUGACUGAAAAUAGGAAUUCUUCACUAGGGCAGCUACGGGAAAGGGACCUUGAGCUCCCAAAAUCCCUGAUUUUGUGCAAAGGAGUAGAGUAGAUUUCACCAAAAUAGGAUGAUUGAAGGGGUGAGGGGAGAAAGGAAGGGAAAGACUUGGCAAAAUGGGAUAGAAACCAUUAGGGUUUCUUGGAAAAUGUCAGCUUCCAGCGGCUAUAAAAGAGGCAUCUUCUACCCAACAAGCAUCAACUACAUCAGAGAGCAAGCUUCCUCUCUUACUCCCAAAACCCAUCAAUUUUGUGCUCAGCCCAUCCUUUUCCCUUAGUUUUCCCUUUUGGCAAGCUGUUCUAUCACUUGACAGAGUCUUUGUCAAGCUAUCGGAAAAACACUCAAGCCACCAUUUUCUCUCUUUUUCCUUAUGCUCAACCAAACCUCUCUGCAAAAUCCUUUCUCUCCUACCUUAAUACCCCGUCUUUCCCCUAGGAACACUUAAUUUUGUCUUCAGUGCUAAACUCAUGACAACUUUGCUCUCAUGCCACAAGCCUCUCAUGCCAAGCUAAGAUUCUACCUGUAAGCACUAAGAAUUUAUCUGUAAGCAGCCAUUAUUUUUGUUGGUGAAGGUAACCAAGGUGUUUCCUAAUACUUUACUAUCCUUUUGAAAUAUUUUGGGGUAUGAUCUUUGAACUCAGACACAAGGGGGAAAUUUCAUCCAUUUUGCUCUUUACUGCAGCCCAGCCCAUUUGUAGCUGCUGGAAGAAAAAAAGCUCCCAUAGGGUUCUUGUGAGAGCUAAGGGGUUUUAAGUUGUAACCAAAAUUGUUCUUACGUACUAGUGAAUUUCUAGGUGGAUCACCAAAAGGACGUAGGCACAAGGCCGAACCUAUAUAAAUUUUUGUGUUCUUGUGUGUUUGCUUUCUCUAUUCGGUGUGUGUAUGUGUUUUAUUCACAAAGGGGUUUGUGUGUGUGAUGUUGCAUAGUACAUCAACGACAAGAUCAUGGAGUGUUUCUGCACAACAAGUGGUAUAUGAGCCUAGUUUGGCAGCGGGUAUUGGUUUAUGCCCAAGUGCUCUUACAAUUUUAAGAGCGGCGGUGUGUUGACAAUGACAAGCAACAAGAAGACACCACAACCGAUGUCGAGUGUAAAGGUCAAGUUGAAAUCGUUCACCGACAAAGAGAACUUUACUCUUUGGCAAAGGAGGAUGAAGUAUGUACUUAAGAAGCAGGUUUCUGUGUAGUCUUGGUAGGCAAAGAAAAGAAGCAGGACACCAUGACGGAUGUGGAGUGGGACAACCUAGAUGAGCUUGCUAAAGGGUCUAUCGAACAACACCUCACUAAUGAAGUGUUGUGUAAUGCGAUGGAAGACAACGCGAAGUAGACAUAGGAGAAACUUGAAGAGAUGUUUGAGUCAAAAUCAUUGUCCAACAAGCUCUUCUUGAAGGAAGAGCUUCACUCUUUAAAGAUGGAGGAAGGCGCAAGUCUAAUGGAGCAUGUCAGCACCUUUAAUAGGUGUAUUGCAAAUUUGCAAAGAAUGGAUGAGGUUUAUAAGUUAGAAGAUAAGGCCGUGAUAUUUUUGACAUUUCUGCCUCUAUCUUAUAAGCACUUCCGCAUGACGCUUAUGUUCAGCAAGGGAACUUUGAAGUAUAAAGACGUGAUCGAUGCAAGACAUCCUAACGCAUGACAUGAUAGUUCAACAUUCUGGAGAUAGCUCUCAAGGUAAAGGCCUUAUGGUGAGGACCGGAGGGCGGGGUCAUUCAAGCAAGCAUGGGGACAAGUCAAACAAUGGUGGAAAUUCUAGAUUUGAGAACAAUGAAGGGUGUUUCAAGUGUGGAUCAAAGGACCAUUGGAAGCGGAAUUGUCUAGGAUGAUGAGGGAGAAGGAACCAAAGGCUGCAAAAUGAGUAGGGGGAUGAGAAGAAUAAGUCUAAGAAAUGAGCAGCAGAGUGCCAGUGACUGGUCAUCAUUGGACAGGCGACCGGUGGCUUUAUACCGAGAGCUCAGGUCGUCUCUUCAACUCCAUGCGAUCGGUCGCCCAAUCCCGAUGACCAAUCGCCAUAUGAGUAGUGCCGCACGUGAUUUCGACGUUUUGGCGUGUUUGACUUGGUUUUCCUAUUAUUUUUGAGGUUUUCUAGCCUAAUUUAAUAGGGUUUUGGUUUACUAUUUCCUAGUUAACUUGCAGCAAAAGUCCUAUGCAUUAUAAAUAGGAAUUUCAGGGCUAGGUUAAUAAGAAGAGAGAGACACAAGGGAAUUCAAGACGGAAUUUAAUGGUGUUUUCUAGAGCAUCAAAGAGUUUGAGCAAAUGGUGAGAGAAAAGAGAGCUAGGGUUCUUGGGAUAUGUAAGGGGAGGUUUAAAUUGUGUUGGAUAUCUAGUUGUAUGGAUAUGGCUAUGGUAGGAUGAAAGAUGCUUCAAGGCACGUAUAAAUACAUUGUCUUUCAGACAUUAUUUGACCCCACAACUUGUGUGCAAAGGGGUUGAGUAAAUAAGCUAUUUGGAUACAAUGAAGCCUUAGCCUAUAUAUGUGGAUACAAGGAUGCUCAAGAAUAUCUAGGAGUUAAUAUUGUAGGAUAUAACUUCUAGAUGGUUUGCUUUUAGAGAAAUAGAUGGAGAAGAGUAUUGGUUGAAUUGUAUAUCCCUUUGGCAGAGAACCCUCCUCCAUUUAUAGAAAGGUUUGUGUCUUUUAUGAAUUGGUGUUAUUCAAAUUCAGAAAUCCAUGUAACUCUUGGAUUGCACCUCUUUAUCAAGAGGUACCACUUCAAUGAGAACACAUCUCUUCUGUGUUUUUAUUUUUGAAAUAUGUAUAUGAAGUGUUUCUAACAUUCAUAUAUCUAAUUCAAACACCUAGGUAUCAAGAGACACAUCUAAACACUCAAAAGGCACUUCAAAAUCGCACCCAAGACACGAAGGGACCGAUCAUUUUUUCCGAUGACUAGUUGCUUUGCAUAGAGAGCAAAUAUGAAACAUUGUGCCAAAAAUGACCGGUCACUUUUUACAACAUCAUCAUAUUUUGAAAAAUAUCUCUUAUGAGUUGUAACCAAAAUUGUUCUUAGAUGUUAGUGAAUUUCUUGAGUCGAUUACCAAGAAGACAUAAACACAAGGUCAAAUUUUUAUAAAUCUUUGUGUUCUUGUGUGUUUGCUUUCUCUCUUCGGUGCGUGUGUGUUUUAUUCUCAAAAGGGUUUCUGUGUGUGCCGUCGCAUAGUCUAUCAACAAUAAGAUCUUGGAGUAUUUCCGCACAUGAUAGGGAACCAACUUUUGUGUUGUGUCAAUAAGAAAUUAAAAAUGAGAUACUAAAUAGGGAUACCGAUAGUGACACAACACCUUAUUUGUCUUCGAUGCUCAAGAGGCCAUAUAUAGAAAUUGGAGUCAAUGGUUCAACAAUAAGCGCUUUAGCAUUGAAGACAUUAACUCUCACGCCAGAGAGGUACCGAAUUCUGUGAAGAGUAUGCUUAACACGUUUUUGAUAGUACACUUGACGAGGGUUUAGCUUUGUGGUUGUGAACUUGUGAGGACUAAAGAGCAAGCAAACAUUGCCUCACAUGGUGUAGAUAUAGAGAUCACAAUUAUUGAGAGUGAAGUUGUACGUUUAACGUCCCCUCUCUCCACACUUCAAUGCUUGAUAUCAAAAAUUGACUCACCCACAGAGAUUUAGUGCACGUCCCAUGCAUAUUGAGAAACUUCACAUCAAAUUUUAUCCCAUUAUAUCUCCAUCUGUCUUUGAAAAAGGCGUUAUGAAUUCAUCGCUCUUUUUUACUGAGUGUACACAAUUGAUUUUAUUUCUUUUUGUCAAUUAUUAUUUUUUCUUUUUUCUGGAACAUAUUUUGUUACUGCUUUUGUUGAUAUUUUCGUAUUUUCAAAUUCAAGAUGAUGCUUGGAUAUAGGUCACCAUCAGCUCAAGUCAUAAUUUGGGCUUUUUCCCAAUAUUUAUUUAUUUUUCUGGUAAGCAAUUUGCCCAAUUUUUUGAGUAAGCAUUGUGGAAUUCUGAGAGUGAAGAGUUAAGAUGAUAUGCUGACGAAAGAGAGAACCAUGGCAUACUUUGCUCCACUAGUUUUCUGUGAGAUAGUUAAAGAGCUCUCUCUGUUACUAAAUGCAAAGUUGCUCAAUUGGGAGCAUUUUCAGGCAUGGCUCAAUAAUUAAAUAACCAUGGCCCAUUAUUGAAUUAACUUUAAUAGGAGAAAGAUUUCCAUGAAACGGAGAUAGCACUACAUACGUGAUAACACUUCUACGUGGCAUAAUAUUAUUGUCCGGACAUAGCAAACCAAUGCUAUCCUCCCGUUGCAACCAAGUUUUACUCUGUCAAUAGAAAGCUGCCCUUUUAAUUACUUUGCUCAUUGAUUCAUCAAAUGUGACUGGUCACAGACACACGCAUAAGAUUAAUUUUCUUACCCCACUACCCAACAACUUAGCAAGUACAAAAGGACCAAUUUGCUUGUUAAAAUAUCAUUUAGGAUGCAGCUCAAUUUUGUUUCUGAUUUACCAUAAAAAACACAUGCACUUUUUAUAUCUUUGAAUCUUACUGCACUAAAUUAUACAUGAAUUUUGAUGGAUCAAAUUAAAUAGAGAUACAUUUCUUAGAUAGACACACAAAUUUACCAGAAACUGUGAUUUUGAAGACUGCUAGAAUUCAUCCUGAUAAGGAACUGUGACAAUCACUUUCACUUCAUCAGGGCAACCCUUUUGAUCAGCUGAUGGCAUUGCCAUGACAAGUCCACCGGAAACGAAUCCGAUCCAAUAUGAAACAAGAGCAGGCUUAUUCCCUUUGCGAAAUUCGAUGUCAUUUGCGCCGAAAUCAUCCCAGAUUGCUGCUGCAAUUUGACUCUGAAGGCCUGAUUUCGGCUUAAUAAGUCCAUCUUUUGGAAAGUUCUCAACCUUGAUUGAAUUGCAGGACUUGGUCUUCAAAAACAAGGACCACUUGGGAGUCAUUUUGGUACCAAACUUGCGCUCUGCUUCUUCAACACAAAAUUGCAAUGCAUAAUCAUUCUCCGAAUUCACAUGCUCCCCCGGGAUAGUGAAAAUCGUAGUUUGGCUAGAUUUUUUGCUAGUAUUAGAGCUAAAUAUGCUAGUGGGGGAGCUAUCAGUACAUUUUUUAGUGUUAGGGAAAUAAUACAUUGGUGCUGCAGGUAGAUCAUCUUUUGAAAGCAUAUUGUUGUGGAUGUCAGCCCAUUUCUUGAUGAAGUUUUCCUUCAACAAAAUGUCUGCCAGAAGAAGGCUGCAGCUAAUUCCUAUUGAGCAUCCUCCACACUGGAAAUUGGUCACCUAAGAAACACAAAAGUAUUAUAAAUAAAUAAAUAAAAGAGCUUGAUCCAUAAAUUCAACACCAAGCUCCUACGUAUGAUUUCUUAAUUAAUUAAUUACCUGAACAUAAACAAGUGGAGAGUACUGAGGAUUUUGUUCAUCAAUAUCUUUCCAAAACACAAGCUCAGCUUCUGCAUCCUUUCUGCCUCUGCUGGCCCUGAAAUCAAGAAACUCAGACAAGGAAGCUGGGAUCCUUGUCUCAAGAAGUCUAAUGCCACUGUCAUUUGACACAAUCUCCAUCAAUUCAUCUCCUUCUCGAAACCGACCAGCAAAUAUUGGUUGCUCCAACAAGGCCCUUGCUAGUGACUCCUUGAGCCAUCCAACAUGAAACCAACGAGCAUCAUCUUGGCUUGCCUUUGCGUGGUAAAGAAGGAUGUGCAGGCAAUGCCUGAAUAUUCCCGAACCGAUAGGGUCUGCCGUCAACACUUGGCGUGCUUGUCGUGGCUCCGUUAUUCUCAACGGUGUCACAGUCUGCACAGAUUCCAUGUGUAUUUCUGGGAUAAGCUCACUUUUGGACAUUGCCAUCUUGCACAAAAGGGAAUGGAGUUACUACUCUCAUAUAUAUAUAUAUAUAUAUAUAUAAAUUACAAAAUAUGCUUAUUGCUUUUUAUCAUAAAUGCUCUCUUUUUCGUCAAACAGUCUGUCAUCAUGUGAUGCUAUAAAUUCUGAAUAUAAACCAUUUUAGGACUAAGAUCUCCUUUAUAAGUUUUCAAAGAGGUUUUGGUAUACCCUAGUCUUGGAAUAAGGUAGCCUCCACUCCCUCUAAACUUUUCGAAACCGUGAAUAUAAACCAUUCUAAAUCAAGAGAAAUAAUAAUACGUAUGAUUGCGGUAGCGUAAUUAAUAAUGCGUUAGAUAUUUAAAAAGACAAAGUUCCUUGUUUCACAAUUAAUGGAAAGAAUUGCAUAAGUAUUUUAAGAAUGAACAAGUCAUGCAUUCUCAAUGCAUUCAACUUGGGAAAUGUAUGACUUUUUAUGCAGCUGAGUUAGACGCGCAGGUGGUGGAUAUGCUUCACCGUCAUCACAUAAAUAUAUGGUUAGUUGAUACAAUUUUUCGUUUUCUAAUAAAUGCACCGUUCAUAUAGCGCGAUCAAUUAAAACAACUAUUAAUUGAGCCUAAAAAAGGGAUUAUAGGAGGGCAAACUACCCUCUCCAAGGUGGUCUAGCUCCUCACGUUUUGGCUAUGUCAUUCAAGGCAAAAUGACAAAGGCUGCCCUACAAGUUAAUGACAAAUGUGUAAUGGGCAGUGCUACGUACGGAUUCCCUAGCACAUGUUGGGUUUAGCAUUUAUAUUUGUGUUAAUGGUUGUACACUUAUUAUACAUGUACAUAUUUCUUCAUACAAUUGACAGUUGGUAGGUGAAUGUGUUUGUUGAUUUUGGUUUGAAGAUGCUGUUGGGAUUCAACAUGUUUAUGAGAAUCAAGUCUUUGUACGAGUUAAAAAAAUAAAAAAUUUACAAGAUGAUGAUUACAGAUCAUCAAAUAUAGGCACAAUAAUGUGUAUAUAUGUAUCUAUACAUAUUUCAUGUCAUGGUGUAGCAGAACAUAGGCCCAAAACAUACUUGUGAUGAGGUAUUUAAAGACAAUUUGUAAGGCUUAUUUGUUGACAUGCCUCCUGUGGUUUUCAAAAGUCUCAGUUUGCCCUCUGACAUUUCAAAUGACUCAAUUUCCCCCCUGAACUUCUAUUACGUGACCAAGGUUGCUCCAUUCCGUUAGUUUUCAGAUCAAACCGUUAAAUCAACUGACUUGGCACGGGUAUUUUGAUAAAUUUGACUAUUUAAAAUUCAAAAUAAAUAUAAAAAAUGCUUGAAAUUAUUUAAAAUAGAGUUAAGAUAAAAAUAUCUCCUUUUUUCUCCCUCAAUCAUCAACCCCCACCACUUUCUCCCUAAUCUCAACCAACCCCAGCAACCACCUUUCCCAUCCCCAUUCCUCUGUCAAAAUAAAGAUACCCAAAAAACUUAGCAACCUUCCUCCUCUCUCUCUCUCUCUCUCUCUCUCUCUCUCUCUCUCUCUCUCUCUCUCUGUGCCAAAAAAUCAGCUCUCCACUGUAACAUCCCACAUCGACCAACAGAGAGGGGGUGAUGUGUCUUAUAUGUAUAUGCCCACCUCCAUCUAGCACGAGGCAUUUUGGGAGCUCACUGGCUUCGGAUUCCAUGGGAACUCCGAAGUUAAGUGAGUUGGGGCUAGAGCAAUCCCAUGAUGGGUGACCUACUGGGAAGUUGCUCGUGAGUUCUCAGAAACAAAAUCGUGAGGGCAGAGAGGGGGGGUCAAAAGCGAACAAUAUUGUGUUACGGCGGAGCAGAUCGCGGGAUGUGACAAUUUGGUAUCAGAGCCACUCUGCCGUGUGGUGAGAGUGUGCCGACGAGGGAGUCGGGUCCCUAAGGGGGGUGGAUUGUAAUAUCCCACAUCGACCAAUGGAGAAGAGGUGAUGUGCCCUUAUAUGUACAUGCCCACCUCCUUUUAGCAUGAGGUCUUUUGGGAGCUCACUGACUUAGGAUUCCAUGAGAACUCCGAAGUUAAGAGAGUUGGGGCUAGAGCAAUCCUAGGAUGGGUGACCUAAUGAGAAGUUGCUCGUGAGUUCCUAGAAACAAAACCGUGAGGGCGGAUAGGGGGGCCCAAAUCAGACAAUAUCGUGCUGCGGCGGAGUCGAUCCUUGGAUGUGACAUCCAGUCUCUUCGACAUCAUCAAACCCUAACUAACAAUUCACCCGAUGUCUCUCUCCUUCUUUGGCUCCCACCAAGGGAGAUAAGGACUGCCACAUAUGCGAAAUCUGAAGUCAAUUAGUGAUUUUAUUUGUGAGUUUUGAGCCUUUUGACAAUUGAGGGGAGGAGGUUGACAAGAGAGAGAGAGAGAGAGAGAGAGAGAGAGAGAGAGAGAGAGAGAGAGAGAGAGAGAGAGAGAAAGGGAGAAGUUGGGGUGGGUUUUUUCUAGGUGUGGGUUGGUUGGGCAGUGGGGCUGGUUGAGAUAAGGGAGAAGGUGGUGGGAGUUGAUGAUUAGGGAUAAUAAAAAAAAGGACAUUUUUAUCUUUAUUUUUAUUUAUUCCUAUUUUAAAUAAUUUCAAGCAUUUUUUUUAAUUUUUAAUUUGAAUCUUUUAAUUUUUAAUAGUUAAAGUUACCAAAAUAACCAUGUCACUUCAACUGAUUUAAUUGUUUUUAUCUGAAAACUAACAGAAUGGGGUAACCUUGGUCACAUAAUGGAAGUUCAAAGAGGAGAUUGAGUCAUUUAAAAUAUUAGAGGACAAACUGAGACUAUUUGAAAAACUUAUGGGGCAUUUCAACAAAUAAACCAAGUUGUAAUGCUUCAAGUACUUGUAUAAAUAAACACAACGAUUUCCGACCCUCUCCCUAAACUGUCAGUGGGAAUCUUCAAGAAUCAUAAUGUGCCAUCGUUUACAAGGUGACCAUGAUGAGAUAAAACUGUCAUGUUUUAACAAAUCGUAAAGGCUUUUUAUAUUGAAGCAUAAAGCAGCUAUAAAAAGGAAUAAGGUUGCCUAGUUUUUUUUUAUAGGUAUAAGCCUAAGGGCUUCUAAUAAUGGAGUAUUGAGGGACAAAUGGGGUUAGCCGACCCCAUGCCAGUUGGAAAAAAAGGGGUGAAGUUCUCAUGCUACCCAAUGCUUGCUGGAGUGCGACCCUAAGGCGGCCCGCACACCAACUAUUCGACUAAAUGAGCGAGAGGGACCUUGUUCUGCUGCCCUGUGUAGCGCAGGCGAGACUGUCUUUUUUUUUUUUUUGUUUUUUUAAUAAAAAAAAUGCCUGGCCAAAACGACGCUGUUUUGGUCUAGGUGUGUUUUUUUAUUUAUUUAUAAAUUACCUGGCUUCAAAACGGUGUCGUUUUAAGCCAGGUUAAAAGAAAAGGAAAAAAAGGAAGAACCAUCAUCCUUACUCGACUCCAACAGCCUCCAAAUCCCAAAAACCCAAUUUCUUCCACAUUUUCCCUCUCCUCUCUCAAACCUUAAUCCUUAACCUCCAGACCGGCGCAAACCACCCCCUUGCCGCCACGGCGCUACCACCUCUCAUAAAUUCAAGUGAGUAGGACUCCUACAUAAUCAUUUUUAGUGUUAAUUUUUUCUUUAAAAAUUUGGAGACUUUUACACUAUGACCCUAUGACCAUAUGAGGUCACAAUCCUGCAUCCGCCAUUGAUGAUAACCAGGUGUCUUUGGUGACAUUGUGCCGAACUAGUCCACCUAAAUUAUAAUAUGUGUAUAAUCAGUAAUAUUAAUAUAUCAUAUUUAGACCUAAAAAGUGAACCCUAUAAGGAAAGAAAGGACCGAUAUAUGCAUGCAAGAACCAUCUUAACAUAACUUCAAUACAUAACAAUGUUAACGUUCCAGGAAACACAAAAAUAAUUUUUCAGAUCUUAAGGCUCUCUAUGUAGGAUUUUUCCUCUUUGAAGGAGAGAAACUUCAUAUAUUCAUCCAAGCUACUUGCGCUGUAUCUUUCUGGAUGAUCUUCAUCAACAAGCUCUGUGGCAGGCUCCACCAUAUCUUCCAUGGCUAGGCUAAGAAAGCUACCUACAGAAGCCCUACUCAUUAGAGGGCUUGGCACUAUAAAAAAAGUGGCAACAAUUACCGUUUUGUCAUCAAUUUUGGUACCUGUUGUGGGAGUUACUAAAGGCUUUAGUCACUAAAAAAAGCAAAAAAGGUGAUUGAAAGCCUUUUUAGUCACCAAAAAAGUCAAAAAAAGGUGAUUAAAGCCUUUAAUAUCAGCACUUCCAGCAGUGCAACCAAGAGGAGGGCCGGGGGGGGUGUGUGGGGGGUGUGUUGGUUUGGCCCAAAAUCUCGUUUCCAGAACAAAAAAUGGCCUGAGCAUAUGGUGGCACCCAGCAGACUGGGCUAGCCCCAGUUUUGCAAUGACGUCAGUUGUGGUGUUCAAAAUUUUUUUAAAGUUGGCGCGUGCGUUGCACGCCCCACCGUUAAAAAAAAUUGCACGCGCUAUACAGUAGCCACCAAUGGCUAGCUUCCACGUGUCAGCGUCUGGGCUCUCUGAUAAAUUUUUUUUCCUCCAAUCCAACGGCAGCCAAUUUUUGUGCAAUAAAAAAAAAGAAAAAAAAAUUGAAUUUUAAAAAAAAAAAAAAAUUAAUGAAUUUUUUUUUUUCUGCUAUAAAUAUCAACCAAUACUCUUCAUUUUUAACACCAAAUCCUCAUACAUUUUCUUCUCCUUCAACUAUUAUUUGCUUUCUACUCACUAUUAUUUUCACUUUCAAGUUUUAUUUUUCUAUAUCAUAUUAUGGCUUCUUCUAUCGAAACCGGAGGGGCAUGGAGCAUGAUGGAAGAUGUUUUGUUGUGUGAGUGUUGGGUCCAAAUUAGUCAUUGUCCCGUCUCGGACAAUGAGAUGAAAUUCUGUCAUAUGUGGAAAAAAAUUCAUAACGAAUUUUGUGAAAGAUCGGGUUUAACCGGUACUGAAAUAGCAUUAUCUAGUAGGUGAAAAAUUCUCAAUAAAGAGUUGGCGAAAUGGAAAGAUGCCUUGGCAAAAGCGAUGGACAACCAUAGAAACGGGGAAAAUCUUAGUAAUGAAGUAAAUUAUUUGUAAUUUUCGUUUAUUAAUUUUAAUGUCCUGUUAAUUUUUAUUUAAAUAUUUCUUGCAAUUUCUAUAUUUUGUUAAUAUUUCUUGUAUUUUCAAUAUUUAUUUCAAUAUUUCUUGCAAUUUCUAUAUUUUGUUAAUAUUUCUUGCAUUUUCAAUAAAUUGUUAAAAUUUAUUGCAUUUCCAUUAUUUUAUUUAUAUUUGUUGCAUUGCCAAUAUUUUUUUAAGUUUCUUGCAUUUCCAAAUUUUUUUUAUUUUUUAUUUUAUAUAUAGAUUAUGCAAGCACAAAUGUGGUAUGGUGCUACUGGGUAAUGCAAAAAAACUAACGGUUUUUUGUAGAAGCCGUUUUAGGUCCCUGGGCGUAGGUCUGCGCAGGUAGUCCCUAGUGUAUAGAGUUUCGACUGCAUCACAAAAUCUCACCAAGCUCUCCAAAGUAGUGAACUUCCCCAUCAGGACAAUCUCAUCCACCUGAUCAGCAGAUGACCCAUAUGCCAACAUUCAUAUAACAGCUGUGAACUUCCGUUCAAGAAGAAGUUCCAAAUUUCCAGCAGCAUUUUUCUUUUGAACAAAGUAUUCAUCAUAAUUGGAAAUAUCAUGCAUGACUUUAUUGAACAAAUGAGGUUGCAUUCUAUAUCACGCAAGAAAAUACCCCAAGAAUGUCUAUGUCUGUCCACAUUCGGGCCACGAUCUUCUUGUGAACCAUGGCGGCUCUGGUUUUUUUCAUCAAGCAAAGCCACUGCCAUGACAAGUUGCUAAUCUAGGUCUUUCUACGCCCUUUUGCCUGCAACUCAUCUACGCCUUCUUUCUGUAGUUUCUCGCUCUUGCCUCUCCAAGACCUCGUUCAUGUCUACCAUUGAGAAUGGAGUAUGAAUUCUAAAAUCUGAAAAAUGAAAAUAUAGAGAAGAUCUGGUGUGAGAGGUAUGAGCUGAGCCUUUGGUUUUAUAGAAAAAUUUAGGCAUAUAGAGAUGACACGUGGCGCAAUUUUAGAGGGUGAAAAUCUUAUUUGAAAUUUGAAAUUUAUCUGAAAUUUGAAAUUUGAAAUGUAUCUGAAAUUUGAAAUUUGAAAUUUGAAAUUUGAAAUUUGAAAUUUAUCUGAAUUUUGAAUUUUGAAAUUUAUAUGAAAUUUGAAAUCGAAAAUCUUAUCCGAAAAUUUUAUAUGAUUAUGAGAUAUGAAUAGUAUUGACACGUAGGAACCCAAAAAUCAUAUCCGAAAAUAUUAUCCAAAUUAAUUGUUUAGGUAAACAAAUUUGUGAAAAAAAUAAAAAAAUGAAUAGUAUUUGUCCUUUGUCAUGACAACUGCUGGAAACACACAUUGCUUUUUGCAAGGGCAGCCACUAUUCACGUGAAUAGUAACUGCCCUAGCCCCCCCUACCAUGGCAAAGAGCAAACUACUGGAAGUGCUCUUAGCCCCACAGCAGUCACAAAAAUUGGUGAUAAAAUGAUAAUUGUUGUCACUUUUUUUUGUAGUGUGGAAAACACUAUUGUACAACUCAUUGCUGAGAACUUCAAGAUGAUUCCCUACCAGGACUUUAAGGGCACCAUCGGUUGCUGGGACAGACUUCCAAGCAUUGUCGUCUGUGAAAUCCAUGAUCUCAAGGCCUGACAUGUUUUCAAGAAGGAUGGUGAUGAAACUGUGGUCUGUAUGUGAUGAAAGUCCGAGCAUAUUGCUUGAUGGGGAAGAUUGUGGGUAUUUGUUGGCUAUUAUUACGUCCACUCCUUGCUCAAGCUUGUUCCUCAAGUAAGUUGGACUUAGAGCUAAGCUCUCCACAAUGGCUCCCAUUAUUUCAUUGCUUAAUCUCCUCACCUCCGCUGCAUAAUUUCCCAAGUUUCCUCUAACAAAAACAUCAAAUUAAUUUCCUUAGUUACUUUAAAUUAUAAUUAACUAUAUGAAGGAACUCUCUCCAAAAAAAAAAAAACAAAAAAAAAAAAAAACAAAACAAACUAUGAAGUACCGAGUUCAUGGUCUAAUAAUACCCAGUCUUCACUUUGUAUGCCUCAAAUUUGAAUAUGAUGAAUAAAUAGUAAAUAGUAAAUUUGGCUUAUACCCUUUAAAUUCAAUUUGUCUUAUCUACAACCCUUCACUUUUCGUUCCUAUAAAUAAUACCCAAUUUUUAUAAGUAAAAACCCAUGACUGGGAUCCAACUUAUCAAGUUAUCUUAUUAAGCUCAAUAUCUAAUUUAUUAUAAUUUUUUGAUUCCCAAAAUACCCCUAUUUACAAUUCAAUGGGUUGGUGUUUUAAUUUUUGGUUCCCCAAUUUAUUGUGGUGAUUUUCUUCCGAAUUUUUGUAUGCAAUUAAUUAUCCAUUUUUUUUAAUAUUAAAAUUCAUUAAUAGAUAUAGUCAACAAUGAGUUGGCCGGAAAGGCUUAGUUUUCCUUAUUUGCUUGCCUUUUUGAAAUUUUGUUCCAUCUUUUUUUUUUUGGUAAAUACCAUGAGGUGCCCCCAACUUGAAGGGUAAGAUUAAUCCCCGCUUGGGGUUUGGCUUGUCCCUGAUCACAAAGUGCUUCCAACGGGUUUUGAACUCUUGCCAUUGAGGCGCCAGGUAGCUCACCAACUGAAUGUGACAGUUUGCCAACCGUUUUUUGGUUCAAUAAAAGUACCUCAGGGUUGAUUAAAAAAAAAGUACCGCAGGGGAUUUCAUUUAUUUAAAAAAAAAUGGAUUUUGGAUUUUGAAUUUUAUUUAUUAAAGUUUUAUUGUACCUGGUUUUUCAUGAAUAAUAAUCUACCUAUUAUUAUUUUUAAAUAAUAAUGUACCUAUUUCAUGACAGUAAUUUACCUAUUAUUUUAAUAAUCUACCUAUUAUCUUUUAUGAGUAAUAAUUUAUCUAUUAUUUGCUCCUAUGAGUCAUAUGAUGUAAUAAUGUAGGCAUGAAAAUGUUAACGUACAUAAUAUCAUCUAAUUAACAUACUUUUUUUUCUUUCUAUGGCAUUGUACCUAUUAGAAUAUAUAUUAUAUAGAUAUAUAUAAUUGAAGGAUAUUAAGUAAAUAUAUAUAAUUGGUUCUUUUUCUUUUUCUAAUUGUUUUAUUUAUUUAUUUAUGUUUUAUUUUUUUAGCUUCCACUGCUGUUUUAGGAAUUGAUCUAAUUUACCAACUAAAAUUUUCAUUUCAAUAGUCCUUCAACUCUUCAUUUGGUAUCAAAACGGCCAAAUUGUCAAAGUCUGUCAAUUGUUCCGUGAAAUCAAGGGAUAAAAUCGUUAUUAUGGAUUAACAUAUUAAUAAAAUAAUAUAAAAUUAUAGAAAAAUAUGGUAUAUAAAAAAAAAUCAUUUCUCCGAAGGAGGUUAAGAGGGAGUAUUUGAACUAGUUUGAUUGUAAGCCAUUAUUACAUGUGUUUACACCAUAAUGAACCGAGCAGACCCAGCACCAAAGUGACUAGCACCAAGGCAGCCACGCCUUCUCCUGUGCCGAAGGAAGACACACUUCCGAGGUGCCAGACACCUACCGAAGAUCCCAGCUGCCAAACCUAAUCUUCAGGACACGUGUCGCCACCACGACGACUUGCACAAAGUCCCACAUCGGAACUUUGUGCAAACCUCCUACUUUCACCUCCCUAUAAAUAGGGAACAGUACCCAGGUAAAAAGGAUAACUAUUCUCCCACUUUUACUGUUACUCUGCCAGACUUACUACUUGUAAUUGACUUAGGCAUCGGAGAGCCUUGGGCCGGCACCACACCGGUGUCCGAAGCUUAACGAUUGCUUCUCUCACUUUGUCUUCUGCAGGUUUCCCAUCAACCUAUAUUUCACCAAGGGCCUCAGCUCUCUUCCCUGCUGAAGACCCCGCAUACCUAAUCCCUAAGUUGGACUCACUAUUGGCCGGGCCAUUUUGAGCAUCAACAGUUUGGCGCCGUCUGUGGGAAUCUGACACUUGAAUCCCCUCUUUCUCUAUCAGCCCAGCUGGCUCCUUCACCCAUCAGGCCCCGUCGCCUCUUCUUCACCCCACACUCUGCUAUGCCGACCGAGGAUAGCCACGAUACCCAGCAUCAUACCCCCCGCGAUGGUACUUCUAGAAGGAAAUCUUCGGAAGAUGCCACUCUCCAGGCAGAAGUGGAGCACCUCCGCGAUAGUGUCACUAAAAUGUCGGAAAAAUACGAGCACCUUCAUUGCAGGAACGUUGAGCUAGAACAUGACUACCGUGCUUUAAAGCGGAACUGAGAAAGGACUCACACCCAGGAUGCCCAGCAAGACCUCACCCAGAACGUUGGGCUUAUUCAGCCGAACCAGCUAGUACAUUCCAGCCACAGUGCCUCGGCCCAAGCUAGGCUCCGCAAGGGUAAAGACCACCUUCAUCCGGAGAUAACCCAGUCACGACCCCUUUGCGUUCCCCCACCGAGGGACCGGCCCCAUGAACCAGUCAGGAUCUACCAAGAUUGCAGGGAUCGCCUCUCGGACCGUCAGCCAAGGCCGAUCCCUAUCCUUGUCAACCUCGAAGACCCACGGGUGACACAACUGGGCCCCUCACCAGCCCCCGUCCGCAUACCCAACGAGGAAGGUGUCGGGGACUCGGAUACUUGGGAAUUUUAUAAUUCAGAGACCUGGCCAAAUUACCACACCGAGGCGCUAGAAAAUUGGGAACAAUCCCCAGUCCCUGUCUGCCCCGCCCCCAGGCCUUUGGCACCUGAAACUCUUCCUCAUGCCGACCCGGCCAUGAGGCUUCUCUUCGAAAAGGUCCGGCGCUGGAAAGCGAACAACAUCGCAGCCAUCAACCCCUCUGGGCAAAACCACGACCAGGGCCCUUUACCGAACGCAUCCUCCACUACCACCAGGAGAAAGAUAUCCAGCCACUCCGCAUCGCUUUCUACACUGGCACGGAGGACCCUCUCACCCACAUCCACUCCUUCCAGUCUGCCCUUGGGUGCAAAGGCCUCACUGAUGAAGGCAUGUGCCUCCUUUUCCCUUCCACCCUCAGCGGCGCGGCCCUGAAUUGGUUGUACAGGCUCCACCCCCGCACCAUCAACUCCUUCGAUAGUCUCAAGCAGACGUUCCUGGACCAUUUUAUGAUCCAGACUGAUCGCCUAUACUCUGCCGACGACUUGUAUAUGCUUAAGCAGGCUGAGGACGAACCCCUUCGGGAAUAUGUAGCUCGGUUCAGUCAUGAAUACUCCCGCUGCCCAGACACUGACGAUCGCGCUGCCUUCGGCGCUUUUAAGAGCGGCUUCCGCGAGUCCAACUUCCGCCACCUGGUUCAUAGCAACAGUUGGAACACAUAUGCAGAGCUGAUGAAGCAGGCGGCGGUCCAUGCUAAGGCUGAAUACUUCAAUUCCAAGCGUGGCCCAGCCAACCUGGCGCGCAACACUUUCGCCGACCCUCCACCUGCUUCAGCAACCGCCCCAGCCCCACCUCAGCAUUCUACCCCUGCCCCGAGUGCCCAGGACAACCAACAACAUAAGCAGAAGGAUAGCUACCAGCAUCCCUUCGGUAAUAACAAACGUGGCAGACAUGGCAACCACCACCACUCUAGUGGAAGCAACCCUCCCAAGACAGCUGAUCGGGCCCCACUUCCAUUCACACCCAGGCCCAGGUUUGAGGUUUUUACGACCCUCAAUACUACCUAUGAGAACGUCCUGGUGCGUGAAGCCCCCAUCAUCCCCAAGCCACCCCCCCGGAGACCAUCCAACAAGCCUAUGCCAAACACGGGGGUCUUCUGCCGCUUUCAUCAAUUCAGCGGCCAUGACACCGAGUCUUGUGUUGCGUUGCGCAACAUAAUUGAAGGGCUCAUCCGGGAGGGUAAGCUGGACAACUAUGUGCGCAACAUACCAGCCUCGCCUAACCCUCACCAACGAUAAAUCAACAUGAUCUCCACCAUCAGCGGAGGUCCUACCCUGGCUGGCACCUCCAACAACUCCAUCAAACAUUAUGUCCGCUCCACCUAUGCGCACCAGGUCUUCAGCACCGAGCAGGGACGCUUGCCAAAGACCCAUAGGACUGGCUGGGCCCCCAUUACCUUCUGCGAGGAGGAGGAGCGUGGUGUUAUCCUCCCCCAUGACGACCCACUCAUUAUCCGGGCUGACAUUUCUAACUUCGACGUUGGGCGUAUCCUGGUGGACAUUGGCAGCUCGGUCAGUGUGAUGUUUGCCGAGGCCUUCAACGAACUCCAGGUCCCGCCUCACCUACUCGACCGAAGCAUCACACCCCUUGUGAGCUUCUCGGGUGAUGUGGUCCAGCCCAUUGGCAGCAUUCAUCUCCCUAUCUCAAUUGGGGCCGCACCUCAGCGGACGACGAUCACUACCCCCUUCCUUAUCGUCGAUUGCCCCACAGCCUACAACGUCAUCCUCGGCCGCCCAGCCUUGGCCCAAAUGAGGGCUUUUAUUUCCACGCAUAUGCUGCUGUUGAAGUUUCCCACUCCCAAUGGCCCAGGCACGGUGCGCGGCGACCAACUCGGGGCCCGAAGCUGUUAUGCUUCAGCAGUAAAAUCCACCAAUCGCCAACCUAGGAGUGAGGCCCUUGCGGUAACCAUGGCGCCCGCCCCCCCUCAAGCUGGCACCGACCCACCUGAGGACCCGAGGGAGGAGUCCAUCGCACCACAGGCCGAACCUAUGGAGGACCUGGAGCUGGUUACCCUCCAUGACGAUAUCCCGGAUCGGCACCUCCAUCUCGCCAGAGCUUCGCUCUGACCUGGUCGCCUUCCUCCGCCUCAACUCCGAAGUCUUCACAUGGUCCUACAAUGACAUGCCUGGCAUAUCCCCAGACAUCAUAUCCCAUAGGCUUAGCGUCAAUCCUGCCGUCAGACCAGUCCGACAGAAGCGUCGCGCUUAUGAUCCCGAGCGCUAUGAGGCCAUGAGGGCGGAGGUGGAUCGAUUGAGUAGCAUCGGAUUCAUCAGGGAGGUUGACUAUCCUACAUGGCUGGCUAAUGUCGUGAUGGUUCGCAAGCCAAGAAAGGGCUGGCGCAUGUGUGUCGAUUACACCAACCUUAAUCGGGCUUGCCCAAAGGACAGCUUCCCGCUACCCCGCAUUGACCAGCUAGUCGACGCCACGGCCGGCCACGCCCUCCUUAGCUUCAUGGAUGCUUAUUCAGGUUACAACCAGAUCUUCAUGCACCCCGAAGAUCAGGCCCACACCUCUUUCAUUACGGACCGCGGCCUCUACUGCUAUAAGGUGAUGCCCUUUGGCCUCAAAAACGUCGGGGCUACUUAUCAGCGUCUGGUGAAUCAGCUCUUUGCCCCACUGAUUGGCAAUACCAUGGAGGUCUAUGUCGAUGACAUGCUAGUCAAGAGUCGCACAGCUGACCAACACAUCCCUAACCUCUCUGCCAUGUUCACCAUCCUAAAGCAGUACAAAAUGAGGCUUAACCCCACCAAAUGUGCAUUCGGGGUGGCUUCUGGCAAAUUCCUGGGCUUCAUGAUCAGCCAGAGGGGUAUUGAGGCCAAUCCAGAAAAGAUCCAGGCCAUCUUAGACAUGACGGUACCUAAGACGGUCAAAGAUAUCCAAAGCCUUACAGGGCGUGUCGCAGCCCUGACCAGAUUUAUCUCCAAAGCCACUGACCGCUGCGCCCCAUUCUUCAAGGCCCUUAAAGGCACCAAAAGAAACAUCACCUGGACUGCUGAAUGCGACACGGCUUUCAGCGAGCUCAAGGAGUAUAUGGGCCGGGCCCCUUUAUUGUCAACCCCGGAGCACGGAGACAUCCUCGUGAUUUAUCUCUCCAUCUCAGCUUCGGCUGUUAGCUCUGUGCUCAUCCGAUCAAAAGAUAACGCGGAACACCCAGUGCAUUAUGUUAGUAAAGCAUUGCAAGAUGCCGAAGUUCGGUACCCGGACAUCGAAAAAUUGGCGUUUGCCCUGGUCGUCUCGGCAAGACGCCUCCGACCAUAUUUCCAAGCUCACACCAUCCAUGUCUUAACCAACCAACCACUCCGACAGGUGUUGCAGAAGCCAGAAACUUCUGGGAGGCUGGUUAAGUGGGCCAUUGAACUUGACGAGUUUGAUAUCCAUUACAAACCCCGCCCGGCUCUAAGGGGACAGGCCGUUGCUGACUUCUUAUCCGAAUUCACGGAGCCUCAAGCUUCGGCAGCUAUCCAGCCCAUAACCGAACCCAAUCCCCCUCCCAGCCAGGACCAAACCCCCACCGAAGGCAAUCUCGACCUAACCCAGCCCCUGUGGACCUUAUUCGUAGACGGCUCUUCUAAUGCCCAGGGCUGUGGGGCCGGCCUCGUUCUCAUCUCCCCAGACAAGGUUGCCCUCGAGUACGCCCUCCGCUUCAAAUUCCAAGCCUCCAACAAUGAGGCCGAAUAUGAAGCACUCUUAGCUGGUCUUCGAUUAGCCAAAGAGAUGGACGCCAGGCAAAUUCAGAUAUUCAGCGAUUCACAACUCGUGGUCCACCAGGUCAACCAGGACUUCACGGCUAAGGAUGCCUCUAUGACGGCCUACCUCCAGCACGCUCGGCACUUGCUGGCGACCUUCCACGCCCACUCUAUCAAGCAAGUGCCGCGCUCCGAGAAUAGCCAUGCCGAUGCACUAGCCAGGUUGGCAUCAGCCUUGGAGCAAGGAAUGGGUCGCCACAUCCACAUCGAGUUUUUGGCCCAGCCCAGCACACAAGCCCCACUCAUCUGCACUAUUGAUCACAACCCUACAUGGAUGGACCCCAUCCUCCAGUUCUUACAGAACCAAACACUACCGGCUAAUCCGGCAGAAGCACGACGCGUUCGCCAUCGCUUUGCCCGUUACCUGAUCAUUAACGGCUCCUUAUACAAGCGGGGUUUCAGCCUUCCUUACCUCCGAUACCUGACUCCAGAGGAGGGUCACUAUGUCCUCCGAGAAAUCCAUGAAGGCAUAUGCGGUAACCACUCGGGCGCACGCUCGCUGGCCCAUAAGGCAAUCCGCCAAGGAUACUUCUGGCCAUCGCUCCACACUGACGCCCAGGAAUUCACCUAGAAAUGCGACAAGCGUCAGCGAUUCGCCAACAUUCCACAACUCCCGGCUGAACCGUUGACUGCCAUCGUCAGCCCUUGGCCAUUUGCCCAAUGGGGACUGGAUCUCAUUGGACCUAUGCCAGAGGGCAAGGGCCAAGUCAAGUAUGCAGUUGUGGCCGUAGACUACUUCACCAAGUGGGCUGAGGCUGAGGCCUUGGCCACCAUCACUGCGGCUCGCAUCGAAUCCUUUGUGUGGCAAAACAUUGUAUGUCGCUUCGGCAUCCCCAAUUCCAUCGUCACCGACAAUGGCCGGCAAUUUGACAACGCCAAAUUCAAACAAUUUUGUUCCAACCUCAAGAUUCGUCUGUGUUUCGCCUCCCCAGCCCAUCCUCAGUCCAAUGGCCAGGUCGAAGCCGUGAACAAAAUUAUCAAGAAGACCCUCAAGACAAAACUUGACAAAGCCAAGGGCUGCUGGCCAGAACUACUCCCAGAAGUACUCUGGUCCUACCGCACCACCUUCCGCACAUCCACGGGUGAAACGCCGUUCUCCCUAUCAUUUGGAACCGAGGCCGUGGCUCCGGUAGAGAUUGGCCAGCCCACAUACCGAACCUCCACUUACGAUGCCACGGCCAAUGACGAGCAGUUGGCCCUCAACCUCGACUUCAUUGACGAGCUCCGGGACCAAUCGAGCAUGCGUAAUGUCGCGUACAAACAACGGAUCGCCAAAUAUUACGACUCCCGAGUCAAGCCCCGUGCUUUCAAAAUGGGGGACUGGGUCAUGCGCAAAGUUUCCUUGGCUUCCAAAAAUCCCAACGAAGAUACCCUCGGCCCUACAUGGGAAGGUCCUUAUGAGAUUAUCAAAAUCUGUCGCCCCGGCACUUAUCAGCUUCGUGAUUCCACAGGCAAGACGCUGCCUCACCCGUGGAAUGCUGACCACCUCAAGUACUAUUACAAGUAAACAUAUCUAGACCCUAGGACAAUACUUUGGUCUUGAUUAUUUACUGUAAGGUAGAAGUAAGGUAUCUAGACCCUAGACCACUUGUACCUUCUGCCUUUCGGCACCUAUUAAAUGAAACGCUUGACUCCGGCUCAUUUUCAUGCAUUCACAUGGCUAUUACUUUACUAGCACAAUUGAUAUCACACAAGUCUCAUAUCAUAAAUAAAAACACCCUGGCUCCAGGCAAGGACAAGUGUUCAUACAUAAACAAAAUAACUGUUCCAACACAAUCACUAAAGUACAAAGUCACUAUAACACAUAACGAAGGCAACGCCUUCAAGACUCGGUCGACGGGGCAUCCUCAGUGGCCGGCUCAGCCUCUGGUAUCGGGGCGCUAGCAUCAGCAGGAGGGGUCUGAGCAGGAGGCUCGCCACUGGUGUCAAAGUUAAUCUCCACCGAGGGGUUGAACCUGACCAACCUAUCUUCCCAGCGAAGCUGCUCAUCAACCAGUCGGUCCAUGAUAUAGCUCUUCAGCUCCUCUGAGGAUCGGAAGGACUCAAUCGCCUCGACUCGGGCAGCAACCACCUCCUCGGCCUUCGAUCUCUUCAGCUCCUCCACCUCCUUGGCCAGGGCCGCCUUUUGAACCAGCAAGGCGUUCUUCUCUCGGAUGGCCUCCUGCGCCUCCGCCAUUUUGCUCUUGGCUAGCUCAUCCCGCCUCUUCAGCCUCUGGAUCUCCUUGUCAGCCUUAGCCAUGCUGACGUACAUCUCGCCAAAGGCCUGCAAAACAAAAACCAUGUUAGUCAAUCCACACACACACAAUCCAACACAAAUACAUUCAAAAAGGGCCUAAACACUUACAUAGGCAGAGGUGAGGAUCGUCUUUUGGGCCCGGUCAAUGAAAGAAGAAGCUGGAGUCCUCGCCAGAGCCUCAGGGUCGCUCUUCACGCCUUCCAGGAAGACGUUCACUAAAGGCACCUCCUGCCGGUGCAUAGCCAGGUUGACCUCCUUCUUCUGCUGGCGUAGUCUGCCGAAGUCUACCUUCUCUACCCCUUCAGCGAACACGUCCUCCAUGCCGAAGGGUAGCUUCGGCGGUGCCUGCAGAUCAAAGGGCGGAAGUCUCGGCCCUGACCCCAUCACAUGCUGAUGAGCCUCCUCCAAGGCUUUCCUUUUCCCCAGCACGUCCGCGACCCGACCCUCAUCAUCAUCCCUGGGUCAUUUUCCAGCACUCUUCUCAGCUUUCUUGGCCCGAGACUCCCUCAGCCGCUUCUGCAUCUCGGCCUCAUCAAUGUCUACGGCCACCUUCGUGCUCCCCCUUAUGAUGCCAGCCACUGUCCAAACAAACAAAACAACUACAUUAGUCCCAACCACAAAAGGCCCAGCACACAACUCAUGAAUGUGACCCAGGUACUUACUUCCUUGAAGGAGUCCGGACUCAAACAAAUUCUUCUGAGUGACUAGGUUCUCGCACUCGCGCUCGGUCUCCGACAGCUGCGCCCUCACCCACUCAACCUCGUCUUCCUGCUCCUUGGAGAUAGGCCCCCACUUCACUGAACCUGCACCAAAGGUUAGAUACUACUUAGCCAUUUAUACUGGCACAGACAAAAUAGAGAACCAAGAACAAGAGCUACAGCAAAACACUAUCAAACAUCAAACAGUCUUAAGGAAUGGGGCCGAGGACCUAUAGACUGGAAGUGGGUAGGAAUGUGUUGGACAACGCUCUUCCCUGGCGGACUCUCCCAGUUCCCAUAAGCCAUGCACCACCUGUUCCUCCAGGACUUUUGUGUAGUUGGCUUGUGCCCAAUAAAAUAGCCUCUCUCCCUCGCCUUUCGGCAAUUCGCCUGUACCCAGCCAAAAUUCCCCUGCUGCUUCGAAAUAGAAUACAAGUACAUGAACUGCUCGAACGUUGGCUCCCCCAACCCAGCCAACCACCAGGCAAUGUACACCCCAUGAAGAAGAAUCCAAAAGUUGGGAUUAUACUGCCCCGGCGCAUACCCCAACUUAGCCAACAUCAUCUGCCCCC